UUUCACUCUCUUUAUCCUCCAGCCAUUGUCCACACCUUCUCUCAACCUCCUCAACCCUAAAUCCAAAUCAUCCUUCUAUGAUGUAGCUUAGGUAGUGGUGAUGUGUGUCUAGCCCUCACGGUUGGCGGCACCACUGUUCAACCAAUCCAGUCUAACGAUUGUGGUUUAAAGUUGAAAGGGUUUGUUUCCAUCGGCAUCGAAACCAUAUGGUGUUAUCAUUCGUGUCUCCUCUUUUGGUUCAUGUGGAUAAGUGUAGCCAUCCUCCCUCGUGAUCAAUAUCAGUUUGGUCCACCAUAUUUCUAAAUUAUCCUUCACUAGUGUGUGGUUUGUAUUUUUUUUCCUUUUUUUUUUUUUUUUCUCUAUUUGAUUCUAGAUUUGUUGCAAUCUGUAGGUUUUAACGUUUUAGAUUUGCCUACACCGCGCCAGUGGUUUUGGAGUUGGUUAGAUGGUGGUUCUAUUCAUGGAGUGGGUUUUCCGUUUAAGAUGUUUUCUAGCUUAGAUCUGGGGUUCAUUGCCUCUGAUGUGUUUGACUACAUUCGUACACAAGUAUAUUGUUAACGAAUGUCAUAAUAUGCAUUGUUUGUAAAAUCAACAGUGAAACAACGUUCGGAUGCUAUCAGAACUGUACUUCUAGUACUCAAAUAGUAGUGGUCAAAAAGGUUAAACCUUUGGAAUUGGAAUUGAAGAACUCCUCAAUUUGUUUGAUUUGAAUGAAACAAUACAAUGCUUCAAAUAAAAUAAGAGAAAGCUUCAUGUUGAAUUGUAUUUAGGAAUCAUAUGUAGAAAAACUACUAAUUCAUAAUAAUUUGUUACACAUAUUAUAGUUCUUUAUGGCCAAGGACUAAGCUUAUACAAUCAUAUAUCUUUGUAACCCUACAAUAACUUGAUAAAGAUAGAAGAAAUAAAAGCUAAUCUUAGUGAUAAAUAUGAAAUUCACUCAUGCUACUUCAUCAACAGAUGCUAAGGCAUUGAGAGGGGAUCCAUAAAAAAAAGUAAUGAAC